rnacentral:miRNA from 9 species
GUGCCUGAAAUUUUAGCUCAAACCU